GAGAACUGACAGAAAGUAACCAGC
rnacentral:piRNA from 1 species